UACGAAGGGGGCUAGCGUUGCUCGGAAUCACUGGGCGUAAAGGGUGCGUAGGCGGGUCUUUAAGUCAGGGGCGAAAUCCUGGAGCUCAACUCCAGAACUGCCUUUGAUACUGAGGAUCUUGAGUCCGGGAGAGGUGAGUGGAACUGCGAGUGUAGAGGUGAAAUUCGUAGAUAUUCGCAAGAACACCAGUGGCGAAGGCGGCUCACUGGCCCGGUACUGACGCUGAGGCACGAAAGCGUGGGGAGCAAACAGG
rnacentral:rRNA from 1 species